AUGGGGCUGGCAUUCUGCAGGGGAAAUCUCUAAUUCUUACACCCUCUUCCCCUCUCUCUGACUCCACUUUUCAUUCAUGAGUGGUUAUUCACUGAUUGAUUCACUGAUGUCUCUAUUAUUCUUUCUUCUUUGUAUGGAUUUAAAGCACCCAGUCAGCAGGGAAAAUACCUCUCACAUAAAUGUCAUCUGCUCUGUGGAGAAAAGACAGAAACAGAAAGAUCAUGAAGUUACAUUAAAUCUGUGCCAGCCUUACUGCACAAGGUAUUUCCCAGAACAAAGAUCUAGAGCAGAGCUGUCCCUCCACUCCUCCAUGGCUGUUCCUUCUCACAGUGGCUGCUCCUCAAAACAGGAAUCCAACUGAAGCAGUGGGGCUGCCAUGGAUCUUGUACCUUGAGAAACAGUGGUUGUGCUUUGUAGAACUGUGGCUUCCAGCUCAUGUGAACUUGGCAGUGAGUCUCUGCUGGUGAUUUUGCUGCCUGUGUUAGUUUAAAGCAUCACUGGAUCAGCAUCGUUACUGCAGUGCGAUAGCGUGAUCUGGAAAUGUCCAUCGUCUGUUGUGGGAGCAGCAAACAGAACAUCCAGCACAUAGCACACGUUGUCAUUUCAUCCUGUAAUACACAGAAAACAGGAAUUACAAAGGCAAGUACAGCGCAGAGAUGUUUUUGUUACCUGUCUAUGGGAAGUUUUUACUCUUUGCUGUACCAAAACCUUUGUGCUGCUCCUAUAGAAACCAUCGCUUGUAUUGAAUAUUUGUUCACACAUGCUGGUGCUUUUGUAACUGUGUCAGUCCCUGGGUUCCGAGGAACAUGUAAAACUCACAAAACCCAGAGGAAAAAAACUUAGAAGAUGUUUAGAGAUUCAAAAAGACCUGAAUCUUUUAACCUCAAAUUAUGUAUCAUGUCUCUGAGGGCCAGCGUCUAUUCAUCACAAACACCAUGGUGUGUGAGCCACCACUCUGAGGCAGGUCUGGGUCCCUGUGACAGCCAGUGUCACUCUCUCAGCCUACCUGACAAGUAAGAGAAUAUCUACUUUCUUUGUACCAAGCACACAAAAAGGCAACACAAUGCCAUAGAGAAAACCUUCCACUUGAGAAGGCAGACAAGAGAACUUCCCUGAAGGUAACACAGCAAGACUGCUUGCAGUGUUGACAGUGUCACAGCUUAUUUUCUCUUCAAGGGUUACUAGUAACACUUGCACUGAGGUGGCUAUUGCAUCUUUCCGGAACAAUACUCCAUGAAUAUUAUCAGAAUAACAUUCAAAAGCCAGUUUCCCAUUUUAGUGUUUUUUGGCUUGUAAAGAAUUGACAAGUCCUUGCCAUGCUAAAUAUCAUUUGGAGAAUAAUCAGUUUGGGCUCCUGCUGACAUCAACAGUCAUUCAAUGACUUGUCCUCCUUCCCUGAGCUAGAGAUAAUCCAGGUUUCCUUCCCAGGAGUUUGCAGAAAAGGCUGUUGCAAAGCAAUGAGAGUUUCCUGGCCAGGAAGCUCUACAGGAACACUGGGUGCUUCCAGCUGCCCCAGACCUGGAAGGAAACCAGCUCACUUCUUUUCAGUGCUUUUUGUGAGCAGUUAACUGCUCAGACCAGGCCAUUAGUGUCAGCCAAGGACUGUCAGGAUAAGGAACUUGUGACAUAAAUUCAGAUUAGCCUCAUCUUCAAGUUAUGAAAUUAUGAAAUCAUGGUCAGUUAACAUUUUUCUUUGAUGGUUUCCUUACCCCAACUCCCUGUGUAAUGGCUCUGUGAGCUGAAAACCAACUCUGUUUCUUGUGAUUCCCUGGGUGAGGUGCACUAAAAUGCUGCAGGUGACAAGUGCUGUAUAAACAUGCAGGGGUUUCAUCUUUCUGUUGUUUUACUAGAAGUCUCUCAGUUGCUAAGCAGAACUCUCCAGGGUAUGUUUAAAGCACCAUGUUUCGGAGUUGCUUAGAGGGAAUGAAAUCUUACGGAGAACUCCCACCAUACUCAUGAACUGGAGCGUAUGUAUGCAUUACCAUGAGGCUGCUCACAAAUCCCCAUCUGAAAUCAGUACUCCAAAGUGGCCUUGAUUUUGUAAUUCCAUAUCACACAAAUUUCUUACUAGUUGGUCUAGGGGGAAAAAGGAUUCUGAGAAAAGACUGUCUCACAAAAACAUAUAACCAUAUGACAAAGAGGACUGUAGAAGAUAGUGUGUAUGGAAGAAGCUGAAAACAUCAUAUUUGGAACAAAUAUACCAUUGGUAACUAGUAACCAUUGUGACUAGAUUAGAGUAGAAGGCAGUAACACCGAAUUAUAAAUAUGUGAUUUUGUCUGAAAUUAGUGUAAUUUGUGGUUAUUGUGUUUGCUACAAGUGUGCAUACUGAAAAAUGAAAGCAUUGGGAGGCUACAGAUAUAACAAAUGAAAUCAGACAUUGAAAAUUUGGCACAGAAUUGACCAUUAAAGUCUGAGGAGUUCCGGACAAAUCUGUUUUGUGAGGAUUCUGGGCCAUGUUGCUGAUAGAGUGUCUGGAAAACCAGAGCAGGGUACUGUGUUUGAUACUGAAAUAUGUACUAGGGAGUUUGUACAGUCCUGAAACUUAGGUUGUGGGUUUCUGGAUUAGGGGUGUCAAUCAAGGGGUGCACACAAAUGGCCUAAUACCAGGACCUGAAUGGAACUGCUGGAUGUUACCCCAGCACAGAUUAUGGCAAUAAUACAACUGGAUAUUCUGCUUAUUCUCUAAUCUGUUUCUUCUUGUGCCAUGAAUCCUUUUCCUCCCUCUGCCUUCUUGCUAUUUGUCCAACCCUAAGCAGAACUGUAUCAUUCUGAGGUCUAGUGGAUGAGAUGCUGGGAAGCACAACGGAAGGAGGAAUUCUUCCUUCUCCAUCUACCAAAGGAGGAGAAGAGCUACCUGGGAGAGUUCUCCUCUCACAUGAUGAAGUAGAAGAACUGCCAACAGAGUGAGUCUCUUUCUCCACUGAACAAAACGUUUGUACUGUAACAAGGAACACUACUUUGUUUUCUUGGUGUUGGUGAUCACACACACAAAGUCUCCCAUAUGGUCCAUGUGGGUGCAUGUACAGCUACAGAACUACCUUCACACAUACAUUACAGAGAGGAAUUGUUACUGACAGAUGGAUAAAAGGUAAGCAAGCUGCAAACUGUUUUUAUUACCAUAUAACACAGAAAGAGAACCACCAGAACAAGUCUGGUUUUCUGUUUCCACAACGUCAUGCAGCUUCGCUACCCAACAGCAUCUUUUGUCCAGAAUUAAUCCAAAUGAUAAUUAACAACACAACAUGAUGUGGUGCCAGUGUUCUUUACAUCUCAGUACAAAACCAGCACUCCACUGGCCAUCUUUCCACAGCUGCAGGAAACAUCCUGCAGUGAAUGCUUUCAUCAUUUAAAGCCAUGUAUUCCUAAGUCUAUUUAAUUAAUUAGAGUUGGUCACCGUGCCUUCUGAAGCAUACUGCUGCUUUCUUAAAGGAGGUUAGCUGUAUGCUUAGACCAAUACAAAUGAAAGAGAAAGCACACAGUGGUUUAGGGGCUGUGAAGCUGAGAUAAACUCCUUUAUUUCUUAGACAAUUCACUGAUCCUGGAGAUCAACAGGUCUUCUAUUUUUUCAAGUAGGCUAUUAUGAUCAUGUAUCCAUCACUCCUUCCUUCUGACCUCAGAGGCUUUGGAGGAACAAUUUUCUUCCCAAGAAGAAAUUUAGCCUUUUAAAAGAAAGAGCAGGAAGAUACCAGCCUUUUGGUAAUACCUUCAUGAUAUCAGAAUAAGGUGGUUUUAAGCCAGAUCUGCAGUAAAAUGUUCACCUCUUAACAGAUUUUGAUUACAUCUAAUCGCUAGGCUGAGAAUCGACUGCUAUUAGUAGAGUCCAUAGUCUCAGCUACAGACUGCAUUAACCACAUAUCAUAUAUGAUACCCUCAGAUGAGACUGGCUGAUCUUUUUUUUUGAUGCUUUGUCACUUCGGAGGGAAAAGAGUCAAAAGG